rnacentral:rRNA from 1 species
AUUGAACGCUGGCGGCAGGCCUAACACAUGCAAGUCGAACGCGUGGCGGACGGGUGAGUAAUGUCUGGGAAACUGCCCGCUGGAGGGGGAUAACUACUGGCAACGGUAUCUAAUACCGCAUAUACUCGGUCGUGCACCGAUGGGAUUAGCUAGUAGGUGGGGUAACGGCUCACCUAGGCGACGAUCCCUAGCUGGUCUGAGAGGAUGACCAGCCACACUGGAACUGAGACACGGUCCAGACUCCUACGGGAGGCAGCAGUGGGGAAUAUUGCACAAUGGGCGCAAGCCUGAUGCAGCCAUGCCGCGUGUAUGAAGAAGGCCUUCGGGUUGUAAAGUACUUUCAGCGAGGAGGCGUUACUCGCAGAAGAAGCACCGGCUAACUCCGUGCCAGCAGCCGCGGUAAUAC